UUGGAGCUGGGGCUUGAGUGCAACAGUCUGCAGGAGAGAAGUCCUCAAGUGUUUGCUGUUGAUUGCUCUGCAAAUACUUUGCCAAGGUCUGCCGCUGAGCACACUGGAGAGCCCCCCGUGCUCCUGUGAGAUGCCCCAUCCACCCCACCAGCUCAGCAUUCACGAGUUGUGCCUGGUACAUCAAGGAUGCUGAUUCUACACAAGUGACCUCCCUUUGGACAAUUCUUGAUUUAGGAGAUUAACAGAUCCCCAAAUAUGUGGAAUUCAGUUCUCUUCCUCUUCUGCUUCUUCCAGAAGACCAUCUUCCUUUGAGUGUUGCUGCAGGAAAGGUGUGUGCAUACACAUGAACAACACUGAAUAUUUGAAAACAAAUGCCUGGACAAGAGAAGAGUUCAGACUUGUGUGGGAACAGAUAUGUCCCUGCAUUCACUCCUCAUCUACCUUUAAGCCUAACUAAGUAAAUAUGCAAUCUAUAAUGUUUUGUUAGGCAACCUUUGUCUGUCAGAAGGCAAAGAGAAGGCUAAAUCAGUGAAAGAGUCAUUGAGUAGAAAGUGAUGCAGCCCUUGUUAGAACACCUUCUCAAGUGUAAUGGAGUUAUGUAUUGUGGGUAAAGAGUGAGGGCCAGAUUGUUUGUUUUUUGAGUUACCAAAGUGUAAAUUAGAACCAACUCUGUGAAAGCUGAUUUGCAUAAAGGGACUCAUGGCCCAAGGGGCACACGAUGUAAACAGUUAAAAUAGGAGAACUGGGAGCGGGCAGUAAAGUCACAUAGCUGAGUUCAUAGAGAGCACCUAUGCACGAGCGUGGAGGCUGCUCUAAUGCACUGAAUUGCAGCGUGUUGGAACAUAGCAAUUGCCUCACUCACUAGCCUCCUGUGUCUCCUGAAUCAGCAUCCCCACACUUAAAAAUGAUGGUCGGGGCGCUUGAAGUAAAGUUCAUCGAACUUCAAGUGCCCCCACCACCUUUUUUAAGCAUGGGGGCACUGAUACAGGAGAUUUGUGGCACUUUUAAUUGAAGUGGAUCUCAGAGACGCUUUAAUUAAAGCACACCUCACCUCCACCACUGAUGCAUGUGUAAAAGUGCCUAUAAUGUAUCAUGGUUGAAGCUGGGGCUAGAAUUUAGGUCCCUGAGCAGAGUAUUCCCAGGAGCAAACUGAUUUUAAAAAUAUGAGAAUAACACUUGUGUUUUAUGGCUAAAUACAGACAGUCAAAAAGCCCAA